rnacentral:rRNA from 1 species
UACGUAGGUGACCAGCGUUGUCCGGAUUUACUGGGCGUAAAGAGCGCGCAGGCGGUCGUUCAAGUCGAGUGUGAAAGCCCCCGGCUCAACUGGGGAGGGUCACUCGAUACUGAUCGACUUGAAGGCAGGAGAGGGAAGCGGAAUUCCCGGUGUAGUGGUGAAAUGCGUAGAUAUCGGGAGGAACACCUGUGGCGAAAGCGGCGCACUGGACCACAACUGACGCUGAGGCGCGAAAGCUAGGGGAGCAAACAGG